CAAGCGUGUGUGCGAGUAGGAUUUCAAGGUCUUUAGAGUAUAAGAUAAUUACAAUGUGCAAACAAACUCACGCGACACAUGACAAGAAAUCUAUCCACGACUGUGCGUCAGGAAUAAUUAACUUUAACAAAAGAAUAAACAUUGGUAAGUUUGCCGUUUAUAAAAUCGAACAUAUAACUUUCAUUCCAUUAACAGCUGAAAACCAACAUAUAGCUAUACCAAAAGAGGAAAAUGAAAUACAUGUACUUUAGAAGUACAAAUUUGUAAAUAGAAAGACCUUCCAUAAUUCAGUCACCUGGUGAACAAUGUAAUAUUCAUAAUAUUGAACGAUAGUAUAAUGAAGAUAGGACAAUCCAAAGUCAAUAUAACAUUUGAAUAUAAACUCAAGACGAUUCCCUUUGAAAAUGAUACAAGAAUAGAUUAUUUGUUAGACAAAAUCGAAAGAACACCUAGAAUUCCUAGUAACAUACCAGAAUAUGAGAAUAACUUAGACCAAAUAUCAGACCAAAUCAAUCAGCUAACGAAUACAAUCUCUUAAGUCAUGUGGACUCACAUUUCUACAAAUGGCCCGUUAUAUUGCAGGUAUCUACCCUCUCAAUAAAUUAGGAAUAUUCGAUGUACUUAAGAAAUGUUUACCUACAAAACCAUAUAUUCAUUUACUAUGUUGUAAAACUAAGAAUAACAUCCAAAAUAUUGCGACGAAUCCAACACCUUUAAACAUAUAUACAGAAAUACCACAAACAAUUUAACCAGCUGCCACUUGAACGAAGAAGAUGAAACAAAACACUUGGAACAUAUUCAGAUGAGGAAUACCAAGGCGCGAUUCCACAAAUCCAUAAUGAAGAAACGUUAAGAAUUAGGAGGACCAAAAUAAUUCUAAGGGGGGAAUGUGACGGCUACCGCACCUCAAAUGACCCAGAUAGUCAUCAGAUUUUGUACACGACACCCACAACUUCCAACAUCGCCCCUCAGCGCCUAUACUUUUAGGAUAUAAAAGCCGAGCAUCUACCCAGAAAUCGCAGUCUUGACAAAUCUUGUUGACCCUCGGUUAUACUUCGGAAUUAUAUGCUAACGUUACAUAUUAUAAAUCUAUUGUAUUCUUGUACUUGAUCAAUAAAUAUUGCAAACGAA